GGGGCUGAGAUAGGUUCGACGGGAAGAUCCGCGGUCAACGGAAGCAGGCGGAGUUGCGAGCUCUCCUAAAACGAUCGCAAGCGUUUUACACGCAAACAAUCAAUACGCACUAGCUGCCUAAUCUAGGUUAGCUACGGGGAGCGAGAGGUCGCCCGAAUCACCUCGCCGACCGUCAUGAACUCGGGCUGGUACGAACGCGUGAUUCGACGUUCGUAUGAGAUCAAGGAUCUGCUGCGAACGGUAAUCCCCGCUUUGAGGAGUACGUUCGAGUAAGCAAAAGUCGAAGCUGAGCCUGGAGAAACUGUUGGUCCGGCUUUUCGGACUCGGGGGGCAGUACCCCGACAGCUCCACCA
rnacentral:tmRNA from 1 species